UACAGAGGGUGCGAGCGUUAAUCGGAGUUACUGGGCGUAAAGGGCGCGUAGGCGGUGAUAUGAGUGUGGUGUGAAAGCCCCGGGCUUAACCUGGGAAGUGCAUCGCAAACGAUAUGACUAGAGUAGAUGAGAGGGUGGCGGAAUUUCCGGUGUAGCGGUGAAAUGCGUAGAUAUUGGGAGGAACACCAGUGGCGAAGGCGGCUCACUGGACCGGAACUGACGCUGAGGCGCGAAAGCGUGGGGAGCAAACGGG
rnacentral:rRNA from 1 species